rnacentral:rRNA from 1 species
GACGUAGGGCGCGAGCGUUGUCCGGAUUUAUUGGGCGUAAAGAGCUCGUAGGCGGUCUGUCGCGUCGAUCGUGAAAACUUGGGGCUUAACCCUGAGCUUGCGGUCGAUACGGGCAUGACUGGAGUUCGGCAGGGGAGACUGGAAUUCCUGGUGUAGCGGUGGAAUGCGCAGAUAUCAGGAGGAACACCGGUGGCGAAGGCGGGUCUCUGGGCAGUAACUGACGCUGAGGAGCGAAAGCGUGGGGAGCGAACAGG